rnacentral:lncRNA from 1 species
GGACUCUUUUGUUGACCAUGAUGGCUACUCCAUUUCUUCUAAGGCAUUCGUGCCCCCAGUAGUAGAUAUAAUGGUCAUCUGAGUUAAAUUCACCCAUUCCUGUCCAUUUUAUUUUGCUGAUUCCUAGUAUGUCGACGUUCACUCUUGCCAUCUCCUGUUUUUCCACUUCCAAUUUGCCUUGAUUCAUGGACCUAACAUUCCAGGUUCCUAUGCGAUAGUGCUCUGUAGCCAAAUAGAAGUGCGUGCUUUAACACACAGACACACACAGGCACAGUUUUUACCCCAUUGUAAUUCCAGACAUCUGAACAUCUCGAGGCCAGUGUUCACCGUCCUCCCUACUUACCCUCUCCUGCAGUGACUUGGAGAACCGGAUCAGAACUUAUCAGGGCUAUCUGUGCCUCAGAAAGGUAACGCCAAAGGAUGAAUAAAGUAGGGUUUAGCAGCAGAAAAGAGAACUGAGCCUUCUUUCUCCCCUUCCCGUUCUCUCCCAAAGCGCCCUAGCGGGAAGCUCGCCUGCGAGUGGGCACACUUUCAACAUGCUCCUCGGAUGGAGCGGGUCCAGGACCUUGCAUUGGUGGGCGAGCCCUGGGCGUGGCCAGGGGGGGCGGGACCGGGUCGGGGGCGUGGUGGGGCGGAGCUGAAACUCUGACGGAUCUCCCAGCGCGUGAGGCCGCAGAAGGUGGAGAAAAGUUGUUGGUUCCCGGCGCCAGGGUCAAAGCCGCCGGGACUAGGACCACUCAGCAGGGAUCCGGCUUGACCUUCGGAGAACCAGCCGGACCCGCCCAAUUCGGCUGGCCGGGUCGAUUCGGGGUCAGGGGAAGCCGCGGGCCGGAGGGGAAGCCGCUGGCCGGCGGCCUGAACCCGAGGGCUGCAGGAUGCUCUCCAAACACAGGGCCCCGGGGCUGUGCGGGUGCACCGCAGGACAGAGAGCAGAGAUUGCCUUCCUGGAAGAAGCCACAGUGUUUUCUGAGGAGCUCGAGUUCACAAUCCAGAGAGUUAUAGAAUGCGAUGAAGCAGUGCUAAUGAGCUUCCAUAGAAGGCAUCAGAAUUUUCUUACUGAACCAAAGAAGACUUGUCUGUCAGCAUAAGUCAGCAGAGGACCUCCAUGGCAGCUGCAGGCGAGGUGGAAACUCUGAACGGGGAGUUCUCUGACCCUCCAAGCUUCUGUCCAAGCGCCUGAGGAAGUAUGUGGACGGCAAGUGACCUGAGAAAGAGAAGAGAGAGGACAGUGCAGUCCAUGUGGAAAACCAGAGGAGCCUUCCUGGAGGAGGAGGCUUGGGGUGAAAAGCGAGGCUUGGCUUGAUGAAUAUAAGUUGGUGAAGGUCCACUUCUCUUCGUGAAGCAUUAGUAAGAUGGGAUUGGAAGUUCCACUCCCUGGAAUUUCAGCUCUGCCUAUUUCAGCAUCUCGAAGAUUCCUAAAAACUUUUCAUCCUUGUGGGGUUCUGGGCUGGAUGGUUUCUGAGAACAGGAUAUCAGGAGCCUGGGCUCACAGGAGACAUAAUGGGCUCCCUUCUCUGGGGUGCUUUCUUUUGAUAUUAUGGUGAAUUAUACACAAGCCUGGGCUUCCUUGGUGGCUCAACCAGUAAAGAAUCUGCCUGCAGUGCAGGAGACCUGGGUUCAAUCCCUGGGUUGGGAAGAUCCCCUGGAGAAGGAAAUGGCAACCCACUCUAGUACUCUUGCCUGGAGAAUUCCAUGGACAGAGGAGCCUAGCAGGCCACAGUCCAUGGGAUCCCAGAGUCGGACGUGACUGAGCGAGUAACUUUCACUUUCAUACACAAGCCUGUGCCUGGGACGUCUCCAAGGCAGGACGGCCCAUCUGCAGCAGUGCCCUCAGAGGGAAAGCGGUUUAGUGCACUGUCUCUUUUUAAUGUUCCCGACCUACCAAACAUGUUGCAGCUCAUUGAUGAACACAUCUCAUGCAGUCCCUGCUGGUCUCCUUACAGAGAUACAUGUAGUGUACUCAUGAGUCUCCCAAAGCUUGACCAGCCCUGUCCUCUAGGCAAAACAGUAUUUUCUCUGUAAAUCUCCAUUAGUCAUUUGUUCCUGCCGUAACCCCUGAACACAACACACGCUCACUGCCUCACAGUUCUGCAAGGUCAGAAGUCCAACUUGAGAGUUCCCUCGUGGUCCAGUGGUUAAGAAUCUACCUUCCACUGCAAGGGACACAUGUUCUAUCCCUGGUCGGGGAACUAAGAUCCCAUAUGCUACGGAUCGACUAAGCCCGCUUGCCGCAACUACUGAGUGCACACGCCACAGUGAAAGAUCCCGCAUGACGCAACAAAGAUGUGUGCUGCAACUGAGACCCAACACAGCCAGAUAAAUAAAUAAAUAUUUUUUAAAGUAUUAUAAAAAAAAAAGAGGUCUAAUCUGAGUCUCAUUCAGGUGUCAGCAGCACUGCUUUCCUUCCAGAGUAAAGUUUUGCUCAUUCAGGUUGUUUCUUGUGGGCUGUGGUCUCCGUUUCUUGGCUGGCUGUUCACUGUCCUCAGCUUCCAAAGGAUGCUCUCAUUAUUCGUGUCAGAGUCCCCUUCCUCCAUCUUCAAAGCCGAUCAUGGUGAGCUGGGUUCCUCCCAUGCUUCCAGUCUCGCUCUUCACCUGCUACUGUGUCUCUCUACCUGACUCUUUCGCCUUCCUCUUCCACUUUUAAUCAUCCAUGAAAUUAUAUCAUGCCUUCAGGAAUAACCGAGAGUAAAUCUCCCUGUUUUGAGGUCUGUAACAUCAAUUCCAUCUACAAAGAUCCCUUUGCCUUAGGAUAUAACAUAUUCACAGGUUUCAGGGAUUAAUCGAUGGGCAUCGUUUGGGGGACAUUGUCUACCACAAAAGUGAAUCAAAAUGCUAAAAUAUCAUGGAUGGUCAUGGAGUCCACCUUCUGUAGCGAGUGAGCUUCCGCUCUCCUGAUCUCUCCCAUAUAUACUGGGAGCCUGGUGCUAAGAGAGCAGGUAUAUUUCUGGUGGCUGAGACAGUAAAGAAUCUGCCUGCAAUGCUGGAGACCCAGGUUCGAUCCCUGGGUCAGGAAGAUCCCCUGGAGAAGGGAAUGGCAAGCAACUCCAGUAUUCUUGCCUGGAGAAUCCCUUGGACAGAGGAGCCUGGUAGGCUACAGUCCAUGGAGUUGCAAAGAGUUGGGACACGAUUGAGCAAGUAACACUAACACUCCCAUAGGUCAUAGAAAGAGCCCAGCUUGGCCCAGCAAGACUGGCACCCUCCCUCCUCUCUGAGUGCCUUCCCACUUGGGCAUGAGUGGGGGGCAGUGCAGCCCCCUGGUUAGGACCAUCUGGAUACUCUCUAGGUCUGUGACUCUGAACAAGCCACUUUACCCCUCUGCUUUGGUUUUACUUCUGCAGUGUGGGGAGCCUGAAGGGGUUUCUCUGUUUAAGGCUCAGUUCUAGGCCAUGUGGAUAUCAGACUAACCAAGGCCGCCCAGGUCCCACUCUCAAGGUAUUUAUAUUGCAGCGGGAAGGUCAGCCUCUAAACAAAACUGUAGGGAAAUCCAUGGGCUAAUUUCAAAUGGUAGAAAGUGAUUUGAAGAGUAAGCCCCAGUAUUAAGUGAUAGCCAUUAGCAGGGAGGAGAAUGUAUCCAGAAAGCAUCCUCUAGGAAGGACAGCUCUGUUAAGAGAUGAAGCAGGACUUCCCUGGUGGUCCAGUGAUUAAGCAUCCGUCUGCCAAUGUCAGGGUUUGAUCCCGGGUCAGUGGAGAUUUCACAUGCCUUGGGGCAACUGAAUCCCAUGUGCCACAACUCCUUAGCCCAAGCCCUAGAGCCUGGGCUCUGAAAUAAGAGAAGCCACGGCAAUGCGCAUCCCACUCACUGGAACAGAGGGUAGCCUGGAUGCACGACAAUGAAGGCCAGUGUAGGCAAAAAUAAUAAAUAAAAUUUAAAAGAGGAAAGAGAUGAAGCCGAGGCCUGAACAGUAGGAAGAUGCCAGCUACGGAGAGGUCCAGGGAAAGGAUUAUAGAUGAAGCCACGAAGCCCUAAAGUGUCAAGGCCCUGUGGCAGGAGCAUUUCCUUGGCGAUCCCUGUGCGGGGAGGGAGAUGAGAGAGGCUCAGAGCACAGAAGGAGCAAAUCUACCCCCUCCACCUCCUGCUCAUGAGAUGAAGUAGAAAGAGACCAAAUAUUGAAUUUGGAUCUUGUUUUCUGUUCAGGGGCUUCCCUGAUAGCUCAGUUGGUAAAGAAUCCGCCUGCAAUGCAGGAAACCCAGGUUUGAUUCCUGGGUCAGGAAGAUCCACUGGAGAAGGGAUAGUCUCCAGUACUUUUGGGCUUUCCUUGGGACUCAGCUACUAAAUAAUCUGCCUGCAAUGCGGGAGACCUGGGUUCGAUCCCUGGGUUGGGAAGAUCCCCUGGAGAAAGGAAAGGCUACCCACUCCAGUAUUCUGGCCUGUAUAGCCCAUGGGGACGCAGAGAGUCCAACAUGACUGAGUGACUUUCAGUUUCACUUUUCUGUUUCACAAUUGCUGAAAGAAACCCACCUCCAGGUAGAGGCAGAAGUGAGGCUCUGAAUUCCAGAGUCGGAGAUAAAGAUAGAGCUGCUUCCUGAGGACCUCUAAAGGAUUUCUGUUUUCUAUGUGGAUUUUCAGGAAACUCUCUUUUGCUUGAGAGUUUUUUACUUUAAAAAACUACAGCGAAAGCCGGUAGUCUGCUUAGCCGAUGUGCUACACUUUUGUAUUUAGUUUGUGUGUAGGUAGCUGGGUUUAUUUGUUUCUCCCCUUUUUGGUAGUUUCUUGGUUGGUUAGCAAUGUUUUCUGCAGUGAAUAUGCUAAAAAAAAUUCAAAGGGACAGCGCUACUCAGGCAUAUAAGGCACAUAUUGUGAUUUUAAUCCUGAUUAGAGAGGUAUUGUUUGGUGGACAAUUCGGUUUCUUCUAUAAAUGGAAUAUAACUUUAUCACAAUUUGGUUUGGUUUCUUCUAUAAAUGGAAUAUAACUUUAUCUCUAUUAAUUUCAUUAAAAAGCCCCUCUGCUUCUGUUGUGUCCUGUUUAGUGUGGUAGCCCCGCUGACUGUUAUUGAGUGUCAUUUAGACAAAGGACUGCAAAGACCACUUAUGAGCAAAAAGAAGAUGGUGUAUUACAUACUGUUAUAAUUUAAAUUCCCUAAUUAUGAAAUUAGAUGUUUUAAUUAUAUUUUAAUUAUGCUAAUUGGCAUCAUUUUUUGAGCCAUGCAGUCUAAAUCCACAAAGCUUUGCAAAUAACUGUUCACACUCCCUUCUUCGUUCCCUUUAUAUUUUAUUCAAAACACUAGAACUUAUGAUUUAAAUUUGUGUCAUCCUUUGAUUAUGUGCUCCUUGCAGACAGUUGCUGACUGGUUGCUUCUCCAUCCCUGGCUCAAGACUGGCAGCUUGUUAGAGCUCAUUAAAUAUUUGCUGAAUUGAAUUAAAUUUGAAAUACCUUAUUAAGAAUCUUGCAUGAGCCUCCAGGGUCCUUAGUGAUGAUUUUGUUCUCAACGUAGCAAUGUGCUUGCAUUUCAGGCUUAACAAAAACAUUGGAGCUUUCUCUCUAAAUGGAAAUCAAAACUUUUAUAGCACACUUGUACUCUGUGGCGUUUGGCUGAAGAUUUUUUUUUCCACUUGCCCUUGGGUUUGGGAUGUCGUGAUCAAUCUUGGGAGCUGUUUCUCUGGAGGAAAGAAAUUUUACGGAGUCAGCAGAGUGAUCAUUUUGAAUUGCUUGGGAUCUGACUUAAUUUUUUAAAUAAUUUUAUUUAUUUAUUUUGGGCUGUACCGGAUUUCAUUGCUGCUCUGACUUUUCUCUAGUUGCGGUGAGCCAGGGCUACUCUCUGCAUGCACUUCUCAUUGCAGUGGUUUCUCCUGUUGUGGUGCACAGGCUCCGGAGCACACAGACUUCCAUAGUUGCGCACACAGUCUCAGUAGCUGUGGCUC